rnacentral:misc_RNA from 1 species
CGGAAUUCCAUAAAUCAAAUU